rnacentral:rRNA from 1 species
UACGAAGGGGGCUAGCGUUGGUUCGGAGUUACUGGGCGUAAAGGGCGCGUAGGCGGCGCAUCAAGUCAGGCGUGAAAGCCCUGGGCUCAACCCGGGAAUUGCGCUUGAGACUGGUGUGGCUUGAGUACGGGAGAGGAUAGUGGAAUUCCCGAGUGUAGAGGUGAAAUUCGUAGAUAUUGGGAAGAACACCGGUGGCGAAGGCGGCUAUCUGGGACCGUAACUG